rnacentral:lncRNA from 1 species
GUGUGUGUGGGUAAACUUUUCAAGACUUCUGAGGAGGUAGAGUUUCAUGCUGUCAAAUCAGGCCAUUCCAAUUUCUCUGAGUCAACUGAGGAGAAGAAACCUCUGUCAGAGGAAGAGAGGGAGCAAAAGAAAAGGGAACUAGCGGAAAAGAUUAAGCAGCGGAGAAGGGAGAGAGAGGAGAUUGAGGAGAAAGAAGCAAGAGAGCGAGAGAGAAAGAGGAUCCAAAUGGGACAAGAAAUUGCUGAGAGAAA